AAUGAAUUAGUUUAAAAAUUUAAAACAUUAAAUUGUCAAUUUAAAAAUAUUUAAUUAUAUUCUUUA
rnacentral:tRNA from 1 species